UACGUAGGGGGCAAGCGUUGUCCGGAAUCAUUGGGCGUAAAGAGCGUGUAGGCGGACCGAUAAGUCCGCCGUGAAAGUCCAGGGCUCAACCCUGGAAUGCCGGUGGAAACUGUCGGGCUGGAGUCCGGAAGAGGCGAGUGGAAUUCCUGGUGUAGCGGUGAAAUGCGCAGAUAUCAGGAGGAACACCAAUGGCGAAGGCAGCUCGCUGGGACGGUACUGACGCUGAGACGCGAAAGCGUGGGGAGCGAACGGG
rnacentral:rRNA from 1 species